AUCACGUGAUCGUCUUUGUCCGAGGGCGCAAUAUCUCUGCGACUGAAGUUUAGCCGCUUGCCGAAGCAAACGGACCUGAGGCUACGACAGGCAGAGGUGAUUGCCACCAUCUUUAUUAAGGGCAAUGAUCUUCGGGACUCGUGCGGGAUCGCCAUAUUUGAUAUUAAUUGAGAAUAAUUUGCAAACCAGGAUCAACAAAGCAAGCUCUCCAUUAAGCAGAGUGAUGAGGAUCUGAAUAUCAUUGACACUUAACUGUGAAAGGAAAGACGUUAAACUGUUCUAUCCGUGGGAGAAUAUUCCUGGAAAUUUUGAUUGCAUUCAGAGAAAUCAAACAAAACCACAUCCAGACCUGACACUCAAUCUGUUUGUCAUAACGUAAUUAUCUCAGGAUUUUGAACAUUUGAAGGAAGAAGAAUUGUUCACACCAGGGAGAAACGCGUGUUAUCUGUGAAGAUUCAUCUGAAAUGUCCAAACACCAGCGCAGUCACACUGGGCAGAGACUGUGGAAAUGUGGGGAUUGUGUGAAGGGAUUUAUUUACCCAUCCCAGCUGGAAAUGCACCAACGCAGUCAUACUGGGGAGAAACCGUUCACUUGCCCUAAUUGUUGGCUGAGAUUCACUCAGUCAAGCAACCUGCUUAAACACCAGUGAGUUCACAGUGGGGAGAGACCGUUUGCCUGCUCUGUGUGUGGGAAAGGAUUCGCACAGACGUUUCACCUGCUGAAACACCAAGUUCACACAGGAGAGAGGCCAUUCACUUGCUCUGUAUGUGGGAAAGAAUUUGCUUUGUUAUCCAGCCUGUUGACACAUCAGCGAAUUCACAAUCCGGACAGACUGUUCACCUGCUCUAUUUGUGGGAAAGGAUUUGUUUCGUCAACCAACCUGCUGAGACACCAGCAAGUUCACACCAGAGAGAAAUCAUUCACCUGUUCUGUGCGUGGGAAAGGAUUCACUCAGUCAUCCUCUCUGCUGGAACACUGACAAAUUCACACUGGGAAAAGACUGUUCAUCUGUUCUGAAUUUGGGAAAGGAUUCACUCGCAAUUCCAAACGAUUGGUACAUCAGCGAGUUCACACUGGAGAGAAACCUUUCACCUGUUCUCAGUGUGGGAAGGGAUUUACACACUCAUCCAAACUGCUGACACAUCAGCGACUUCAUACUGAAGGGAGACCAUUCACCUGUUCGGAGUGUAGACAAGCAUUCACUCAGACACUUCACCUGCUGAUACACCAGCGAGUUCACACUGGAGAGAAACCGUUCACCUGUUGCGAGUGUGGGAAGGGAUUUACUCACUCAACCAACCUGCUGAGACACUAGCGAGUUCACUCUGGGGCUAGACCAUUCACUUGUUCCAUGUGUGGAAAGGGAUUCACUCAAUCAUCCAAACUGUUAACACACCAGCAAGUUCACCACAACCACAUUUGAAGGAUUUUGCUCUUAAUUCAAGGAAUGAACUUUGAUCUUUGGGCUGUUUGUACUGAUCUCAUUAGUCCCUGCUCAAAACUUGAUCUUCUCUUGGGAAAUAAGGUAGGGCAGGUGACUGAGCGGUCAGCGGGUGGGAGAUAUUUUGGGGCCUGUGAUUAUAGCUCGAUUAGUUUUUAAAUAAUUAUGGAAAAGGAUAGACUUGGUCUAAAAGUUAAAGUUUUAAGUGAGACUAAGGCCAAUUUUGACACUAUUAUGCUUCUUAAAAGCACAGUAAGACCGCCUAUGUGUGGGGAAUGCACGAGAUGGGUGAGAUACAAAAAAGUAUUUUACAUCAGUAUUUACUGUGAUAAAGGAUACAAAAGCUAAAGAACUUAAAGAAAUGAAUCUGUAUCUUGAAAAGUUCCAUGUUGUAGGGGAGGUGGUGCUGGAUGCCUUAGAGAGCAUAAAGGUGGAUAAAUCCCACGACCUCUUCAGGUGUAUUCGCGAACUUUGCGGGAAGUUAGGCUUGCGAUUGGGCCCCUUGCUCAGAUAUUUGCACCAUUGACUGUCAUAGGUGAGCUGCUAGACUGGAGGUUGGCUAAUCCGGUGCCAUUGUUUAAGAAAGGUGGUAACAUAAAGCCAGGGAACAAUAACCUUUUGGUGUGCCUGACGUCAGUUGUGGGUAAGUUGUUGGAGGGAAUUCUGUGGGAUAGAAUUUACAUGUAUUUGGAAAGCGUGGACUGAAUGGGAAUAGUCAACGUGACUUUGUCCAUAGGAAAUUAUGUCUUACUGACUUGAUUGAGUUUUUUUGAAGAAGUUACAAACAAGAUUGAUGGCAGUGCGGUGGAUGUUUUCGAUAUGGAUUUCGCUAAGUAAAAUUCCGCAUGGCAGAAAGAUUAACAAGUUUAGAUCACAUGGAAUCCAGGGAGAGCUGGCCAUUUGGAAAGGCCUUUGACCCAGUGUGCUGCAAGAAUUGGUACUUAGUAACUAUAGCUCCUACAUUCACAUCCAAAUCAUCUUUAUAAAUGACAAAAAGGAGUGGACCCAGCUCUGAUCCUUGUGGCACACCACUGGUCACAGGCCUCCAGUCUACAAAGCAACCCUCCACCAGCAUUCUGUCUUCUACCUUCAAGUCAGAUCUGUAUCCAAAUGACUGGUUCUCUCUGUAUUCCAUGUGAUCUGACCUUGCUAAUCAGUCUACCAUGAGGAACCUUGUCAAACGCCUUAGUGACAUCCAUAUAGAACACAUCCACCUCUUUGCCCUAUUCAAUCCUUUUUGUUCCUCCAUCAAAAAAAAUCAAGUUAGUGAGACAUGAUUUCCCACACACACAGCCACGUUGACUAUCCCUAAUCAGUCCUUCGCUUUCCAAAUAUUUCAAGUACUAUCCCUCAGGAUUCCUAGAAUGACUUGCCCACCACUAAUUUCAGGCUCACUGGCCUAUAGUUCCCUGGCUUUUCCUUACCAUCUUUCUUAAAUAGUGGCACCGCAUUAGCCAACUUCUGGUCCCUCA